CAGUCGCCGCGGUAAUACGGAGGGUGCAAGCGUUAAUCGGAAUUACUGGGCGUAAAGCGCACGCAGGCGGUUUGUUAAGUCAGAUGUGAAAUCCCCGAGCUUAACUUGGGAACUGCAUUUGAAACUGGCAAGCUAGAGUCCUGUAGAGGGGGGUAGAAUUCCGCGUGUAGCAGUGAAAUGCGUAGAUAUGCGGAGGAACACCGAUGGCGAAGGCAGCCCCCUGGGCCAACACUGACGCUCAUGCACGAAAGCGUGGGGAGCAAACAGGAUUAGAGACCCCGGUAGUCCCUGUCUCUUAUAC
rnacentral:rRNA from 1 species